CAACCCUCAAGCUAUGCUUGGUAUUGGGCCUCAUCGGGAACGAUGUGCCUUAAAGAGAGUGGCGGCACUGCUUGGCUCUAAGCGUAGUAAACUUCUCGCUAUAGACGCUCGGGAGCUGCCCGCCAUAACCCCAAAAUUUCUUAGG
rnacentral:misc_RNA from 1 species